AGAGGGUGCGAGCGUUGUCCGGAAUCACUGGGCGUAAAGGGCGCGUAGGUGGCUGGGUAAGUGUGCGGUGAAAGCCCGGGGCUCAACCCCGGGUCGGCCGUGCAGACUGCCUGGCUCGAGCAUAGUAGAGGCAGGUGGAAUUCCGGGUGUAGCGGUGGAAUGCGUAGAGAUCCGGAAGAACACCGGUGGCGAAGGCGGCCUGCUGGGCUAUUGCUGACACUGAGGCGCGACAGCGUGGGGAGCAAACAGGAUUAGAUACCCUGGUAGUCCACGCCGUAAACGAUGGGUACUAGGUGUCUGGGGGAGCGACCCCCUGGGUGCCGGCGCUAACGCAUGAAGUACCCCGCCUGGGGAGUACGGCCGCAAGGCUG
rnacentral:rRNA from 1 species